GUUAACUUUGUCAAGUAGAAUGCAUAUGUAUACAUAUCGGCUAAAUCUCUUUCCGUAUUUUUUGAAUUUUUAUAAAUACACGAUAUAAAACGUCAUAAAUGUUAAACUAAAUGUUAUCUAUUGAGUAUUUUUUUGUACGUUGUGUAUUACAGUAAAUUAGACUUGUGGUGAAAUUUAUUUAUGGUUUUAGUUUUACAGUUUGAAUUUUUAAAAUAUGCAUGCCUUAAAGAUAUAAUGUGUUUUCAAACCGGUUUGAUUCUGUGGAUAACGUCUCGUUUUUAAUAAAAAGAGGAACAGAAAAAUUAAGCCGGAAUUUCAUGGGUACUCAUAGCCCGGGAGUCACGCAGACUAUCGCGUGGAAUGAAUUUUCGUCGGAAGUUACGUGUACCAGGUGAGGCUGAACCGAGUCCCGUGGAGGAAAUUGCGGAAGGAAAGGAAAUCACAGGCGUGUUACAAAUUUUCAGUUCCAACGACAGGCACAGGAUCUUGAGGGGAUCGUGACUUUAAUGGAGUUCACGUUGAAGCGAGUUGCAUGGAAGAACGGUAUCGUUCGCUAUAAAUGUAAUACGGCUUCCCGUGGAAUAUUUCACGAAAGCUUCGUGA